GUGCUCGCUUCGGCAGCACAUAUAUUAGAAUUGGAACAAUACGGAGAACAUUAACAUGGACCCUGCGCAAGGAUUACACAUACAUUUAUAAAGCAUUCUAUAUUAAA
rnacentral:snRNA from 1 species